AUUGAACGCUGGCGGCAGGCCUAACACAUGCAAGUCGAGCGAGCGGCGGACGGGUGAGUAAUGUCUGGGAAACUGCCUGAUGGUGGGGGAUAACUACUGGAAACGGUAGCUAAUACCGCAUACCAUCAGAUGUGCCCAGAUGGGAUGAGCUAGUAGGUGGGGUAAUGGCUCACGUAGGAGACGAUCCCUAGCUGGUCUGAGAGGAUGACAAGCCACACUGGAACGGAGACCCGGUCCAGACUCCUACGCGAGGCAGCAGUGGGGAAUAGUGCACAAUGGGCGCAAGCCUGAUGCAGCCAUGCCGCGUGUGUGAAGAAGGCCAUCGGGGUGUAAAGCACUUUCAGCGGGGAGGCGUUACCCGCAGAAGAAGCACCGGCUAACUCCGUGCCAGCCGCCGCGGUAAUUC
rnacentral:rRNA from 1 species